rnacentral:rRNA from 1 species
AGCCGCCGCGGGAAUACGGAGGGUGCAAGCGUUAAUCGGAAUUACUGGGCGUAAAGCGCACGCAGGCGGUCUGACAAGUCAGAUGUGAAAUCCCCGGGCUUAACCUGGGAACUGCAUUUGAAACUGUCAGGCUGGAGUCUUGUAGAGGGGGGUGGAAUUCCAGGUGUAGCGGUGAAAUGCGUAGAGAUCUGGAGGAAUACCGGUGGCGAAGGCGGCCCCCUGGACAAAGACUGACGCUCAGGUGCGAAAGCGUGGGGAGCAAACAGGAUUAGAUACCCGUGUAGUCCCUGUCUCUUAUACA